UACAGAGGGGGCAAGCGUUAUUCGGAAUUAUUGGGCGUAAAGGGCGCGUAGGCGGCCUGGCAAGUGGAAGGUGAAAUCCCUCGGCUUAACCGAGGAACUGCCCUCCAAACUGCUUGGCUUGAGUCCGGGAGAGGUGAGUGGAAUUCCCAGUGUAGCGGUGAAAUGCGUGGAUAUUGGGAGGAACACCAGUGGCGAAGGCGGCUCACUGGACCGGAACUGACGCUGAGGCGCGAAAGCGUGGGGAGCAAACGGG
rnacentral:rRNA from 1 species